rnacentral:rRNA from 1 species
GACGAACGCUGGCGGCGUGCUUAACACAUGCAAGUCGAACGAUGAAGCUUGGUGCUUGCACUGGGUGGGUGAGUGGCGAACGGGUGAGUAAUACGUGAGUAACCUGCCCUUGACUCUGGGAUAAGCCUGGGAAACUGGGUCUAAUACUGGAUACGACAUGUCACCGCAUGGUGGUGUGUGGAAAGGGUUUUACUGGUUUUGGAUGGGCUCACGGCCUAUCAGCUUGUUGGUGGGGUAAUGGCUCACCAAGGCGACGACGGGUAGCCGGCCUGAGAGGGUGACCGGCCACACUGGGACUGAGACACGGCCCAGACUCCUACGGGAGGCAGCAGUGGGGAAUAUUGCACAAUGGGCGGAAGCCUGAUGCAGCGACGCCGCGUGAGGGAUGACGGCCUUCGGGUUGUAAACCUCUUUCAGCACGGAAGAAGCGAAAGUGACGGUACGUGCAGAAGAAGCGCCGGCUAACUACGUG